rnacentral:rRNA from 1 species
AUCUAAGGCCAUACCACCCUGAACACGGCUGAUCUGGUCUGAUCUCAGAAGCUAAGCAGGGCCGGGCCUGGUUAGUGCUUGGAUGGGAGACUACAUGGGAAUACCAGGUGCUGUAGGCU